rnacentral:rRNA from 1 species
UUUCCUACGGGGGGCUGCAGUGGGGAAUUUUGGACAAUGGGCGCAAGCCUGAUCCAGCCAUGCCGCGUGCGGGAAGAAGGCCUUCGGGUUGUAAACCGCUUUUGGCAGGAACGAAACGGCGCGGGCUAAUACCCAGCGUUAAUGACGGUACCUGCAGAAUAAGCACCGGCUAACUACGUGCCAGCAGCCGCGGUAAUACGUAGGGUGCAAGCGUUAAUCGGAAUUACUGGGCGUAAAGCGUACGCAGGCGGCUUUGCAAGACAGGUGUGAAAUCCCCGGGCCUAACCUGGGAACUGCAUUUGUGACUGCAUGGCUAGAGUCUGUCAGAGGGGGGUGGAAUUCCACGUGUAGCAGUGAAAUGCGUAGAGAUGUGGAAGAACACCGAUGGCGAAGGCAGCCCCCUGGGAUGAGACUGACGCUCAUGUACGAAAGCGUGGGGAGCAAACAGGAUUAGAUACCCCAGUAGUC